CUAAAAAUUAAUUUACAAAUGGUAAUUACACUUAAUCUUUAAAGGAAAAAAACCAACACUGAAAGUAACAGAAUGGGAGCUAAAUGGGGAGAACUGCAAUAUCACCUCAGACACCAUGGCCCAGAACCAUCUGUGCUCAUGCAAGACCCAUAAUUGUGUGCUCCCCAUUGCCUAUCCCUAUCCCAUGAAUCCAAGAGGGCUGCCUCAACAGUAACCUGGAGUUGGGCUAUACACACUGUUACUGGUGAAUGAUCCUCCUUUGCUGGGCUCUGAUCUCUCCUGCCCGGGUUCUGCCUUGGUUCUUGAUCAGGGGUUCUGGGACAUUCUCACUAAGUUCUGGAUUCGUUCCCUCUAUGGCCUAUGCUUCAACACUACUGACAAUUUGGUUAUUGCU
rnacentral:lncRNA from 1 species